rnacentral:rRNA from 1 species
UACGUAGGUGACCAGCGUUGUCCGGAUUUACUGGGCGUAAAGAGCGCGCAGGCGGUCGUUCAAGUCGAGUGUGAAAGCCCCCGGCUCAACUGGGGAGGGUCACUUGAUACUGAUCGACUGGAAGGCAGGAGAGGGAAGCGGAAAUUCCCGGUGUAGUGGUGAAAUGCGUAGAUAUCGGGAGGAAACACCAGUGGCGAAGGCGGCUUCCUGGCCUGUUCUUGACGCUGAGGCGCGAAAGCGUGGGGAGCAAACAGGAUUGAGAACCA